AGGCACAUAAUUUGACUGACUUUGUUGAAAUCUGUGAAUAGAUUUCAGCCUGUUCAUUUGAACCUUUAUUCUUUUAUGUAUCACUGUAAUCUAAAAAUUUUUUUAAUUCUUCUAAUUAGAGUGCAAGCUCUUUAAGCACAGGAACCUUUUCUCAUUCAUCUUUGUAAAAUUUCCAUUUGGUUCCUUCUUAGGUCCUUUAUUUCUAUGCUGAGAAUUCCUGCCUUACUGUUUGUUUCAAGAGUGCUCACCCUCGCUUCUUAGAGAAUGUUUAUGAUGGCUACCUUAAAACUGUCAGGUAAUUGUAAUGUAUGUGAUAUUCCAUUGUUGGCAUCUGUUGAUUGUUUUUUUAAUGUGAGUUGAGAUUGUUAUUUUUCUUCCAAUGCUGUUAUUUUCAGUUGUGCCUAGACAUUCUGAAUAUCAUAAGGCUCUGAGCCUGUGACGGUUAAUUUUAGGUGUCCAUUUAGUUCAAGGAAUAUCUAGAGAAGUGAUGAAGCAUUAUUUUGGGGUGUGUCUGUGAGGGUGUUUCCUUUUUUUUUUUGAGACGGAGUUUCACUCUUGUUACCCAGGCUGGAGUGCAAUGGCGCGAUCUCGGCUCACCACAACCUCCACCUUCUAGGUUCAGGCAAUUCUCCUGCCUCAGCCUCCUGAGUAGCUAGGAUUACAGGCACGCACCACCGUGCCCAGCUAAUUUUUUGUAUUUUUAGUAGAGACAGGGUUUCACCAUGUUGACCAGGAUGGUCUUGAUCUCUUGACCUCAUGAUCCACCCGCCUCGGCCUCCGAAAGUGCUGGGAUUACAGGCGUGGGUGUUUCCAAAGGAGAUUGGCAUGUGCAUUUGAAGGACUCAGUGGGGAAGAUCCACCCUCAAAGCAGAACUGGGAUACACUCUUUUUCUCUUGGACAUCAGAAAUCCGGGUGUUUUUCUUGGCCUUUGGACAACAGGAGUUAUACCAGUAGCCCUCCAGGUUCUCAAGAUUUUAGAUUUAUACCAAGUCGUGCUACGGACAUUCCAGGGUCUCCAGCUUGCAGGUGGCCUGUUAUGGGAUUUCUCCGUCUCUAUAAUCAUAUAAACCAACUCUCCUAAUGAAUCCCCUCUCAUAUAUCUCUAUAUCUAUCUAUCUGUUUAUCUGUCUAUCUAUCUCUCUACCUACCUACCUGUCUAUUUUCUAUUGCUUUUACCUCUCUGAAGAAUCCUAACUAAUGCAGGGCCUUUUUGAAAUUCUAUGAAGGAAGCUGAUAUUUUUGUUUGAACAGGCAGUUAACCUGGCUGCAUGUUUUGACUGUUCUUCUGAGUUUGGCACUGUCUUGAGUUCAAGUUAGGGAGUAUUGGAGGGAAAAAAUACGAGAGUCAUUGCCAGUUUAAAGAGACUUCAAAUUCUAGCCUUCUCCAGUACAUCUGCUAUCUUUAUUUCUCAGAGUCUGAAAAUAGCUGCUCCAUGCAUUCUGUCUAGGUUUUAUAGCUGCACUCAGUGGGUGAAACAGAGUGAAAUGUGCUUACUCUUACUCCAUCUUACUCUAAACGAAAACUUACUAAGUCAUUUAAAAAAUAUAUGUCCUCAAUUUUCGUAGAGGUUAACAAGAAGAAUGACCAUACAAAUAAUGAUUCUGAGUUUCUAGUAAAGUCCUUAAGAUGUGUCUUGAUACAUUAUAGGGUUUAAAGUGUUGUAUGCAAAGCAGUUGGGAAAUGUGGAGAGCAUAAGCCUUGGAAUUAGUCCUAGCUAUAUUUCAUAGAAAUAGAAAGUAGAUUAACCUGAUAUACUCUGAGAGGAUUAAAUCAUUAUCAGCUAUGGCAAUUCUCUGGCAUACAUAAGGUAGAAAAUAAGUGUUAAUUACAUUUCCUUUUAGAAUUUAGUAUCAGGAAAAGAUUGUCUGCAGAAAUGGCAUACUUCUUUUAAUCUUUUUUAAAAAGUUAAACAAAACCUUUUUUUUUUAGAGAUAGGGUCUCACUCUGUCACCCAGGCUAGAGUAGAGUGGCAGAAUCCUCGCUCACUGUAGCCUCAAACUCCUGGCUCAAGGGCUCCAUCUCAGCCUCCUGAGCAGCUGAGACUAUAGACAUGUACCACCAUGCCCAGCUAAUUUCUUAUUUUUAUUUUUGUAGAGGCAGGGUCUUGUUUUGUUGCCCAGGCUGGUGCUGAACUCCUGGCCUUACACAGUCCUCCUCCUCAGCCUCCCAAAGUGCUAGGACCAUUACAUUGAUGUCAUAGUAAGAAUUAUGCAACUUGUAUUUCUUUGUAUGCUGCAGCUGACUGGAGGCUCAGAGAGCAGCGUAAUGAGAAACCAGUAUGUUCACUUGUGGAAUUGAUAGAUUUCAUUCUAUUCUACGGAGAAUUCUUUAUUUCAAUAACCAAAUUGUAUGAUGUGAAUUUUAUGGUAAAAUACAUUAAACUUUUUGAAUGUUAGCUAUAACAUAGCCAUUAAAAAACUAUGCCU
rnacentral:lncRNA from 1 species